GGCGGGGUAGCUCAGCCGGUUAGAGCGCAGGACUCAUAAUCCUGAGGUCGAGAGUUCGAGUCUCUCCCCCGCUACCA
rnacentral:tRNA from 1 species